GGGGGUGUGGCUUAGUGGCAGAGUGCUUGCCUGGCAUGCAUGAGGCACUGGGUUCAAUCCUCGGCACCACAU
rfam:Ictidomys tridecemlineatus contig020570, whole genome shotgun sequence.